CCUUUCCAUGAAGCUCCGAGGACAUUAAAGGCAAGUCAGAUGUCUAAGCAAUGUCCCAUCACCCUCUGUGGAGGAGAGGCUGUGUCUGGGGUUGAGAUUCUGUCAAUACCUCCCUCUGCUCUGGCACCUGCUGCUCUUCCUGGCCAUUCCCAGUCUUCACAGCCUGACAUCACCGUUGCUGCAAGGUAGCAAUGGUUAAAAAUGGACCAUGGCAAUUAUGAGCAAAGAUGGCUGCCUCCCUCACUGGACAGCAAAAGUGGAAAUCUCAUCCUACCAGCCACCAGGAGAGCUGGCCCUGUGUAAGCCAGGCAGGCUUUGGCUGGAGGACCAGUAUGCAUGGGACCCCUAAAGCACCAUCAUGAAUGGAAGGCCUGCUGUGAUUCAGCCACGGAAGAAGGAGAAAGCAGGGAAACAGAACUAUGGAGGGAGGACAAGAGAUCAAAGAUCUGGGAAGUAAGGAGGAAGAGAAAGCCCCCGCUGGUCCCGCAAAUCGAUUCUCUGCAAGGCCCGCCUCCCCGUCUGUGCUCCGAACUCCUAAGCAGAAUGUAGCCUCCAUGGGAUGCCAGGCCUGAACAGAAGGGCCCAGGAGCACGGGGCAGACACACAUGCCAGGCUGCCAGAACCACUGGGCCUGAUUUGUCCUACAGGGAGGUCCUGCAUCCUCCAGACACCCCCUGACCUCUCUCCAAAAUACACACGCUCUGUUUGCUUCAGGGGAUUCCUGCCUCCUCCUCCGCACCAGAGGAUUCUGGGAUGCUUUUUCACUGCCAUGCCUAAGUCUCUGUUCUCUCAGCUGCGACUGGACAGACUGAGGGAAGACUUGAUAGGUAGCUUUCCUAGUAAGAGCCGGG
rnacentral:lncRNA from 1 species